GGAUGAACGCUGGCGGCGUGCUUACCACAUGCAAGUCGAACGGAAAGGCCCAAGCUUGCUUGGGUACUCGAGUGGCGAACGGGUGAGUAACACGUGGGUGAUCUGCCCUGCACUUCGGGAUAAGCCUGGGAAACUGGGUCUAAUACCGGAUAGGACGAUGGUUUGGAUGCCAUUGUGGAAAGUUUUUUCGGUGUGGGAUGAGCUCGCGGCCUAUCAGCUUGUUGGUGGGGUAAUGGCCUACCAAGGCGUCGACGGGUAGCCGGCCUGAGAGGGUGUACGGCCACAUUGGGACUGAGAUACGGCCCAGACUCCUACGGGAGGCAGCAGUGGGGAAUAUUGCACAAUGGGCGCAAGCCUGAUGCAGCGACGCCGCGUGGGGGAUGACGGCCUUCGGGUUGUAAACUCCUUUCGCUAGGGACGAAGCGUUUUGUGACGGUACCUGGAGAAGAAGCACCGGCUAACUACGUG
rnacentral:rRNA from 1 species